rnacentral:lncRNA from 10 species
AGCGGCGGGGCGAAGGGCUCCUCAAGCGCGGCCAGAGUGGACGCCGAGGCCGAGGAGGCACGGAGAGCGAGCAAGGGCUGCCUGCACGCUGUCACCUCUCAUUAAGGUUUUGGUAUGAAGAUGAUGCUGGUCUCAUAGAUGAUGAUGCUGGUCUCAUAGAAUGAGAUGGAGAGGAGUCCCUAUUCUUCAAUUUUUUGGAAUAGUUUCAGUAGGAUUUGUACCAGCUAUUCUUUCAAUAUCUACUAGAAUUCGGCUGUGAAUCCAUCUAGUCCUUGGCAUUUUUGUUUGACUCCCCGUGGAACAGAGUUGUUGUUCAGCAGAAAUAAUCAAGAGUUGACAUCAUACCAGACCUCGGGACUCAACAAUAAACCAGACCAGUAUGGCUCUAUCUUCAUGAAGAACAUACACAAU